AAGCCAGACUCCUACGGGAGGCAGCAGUGGGGAAUAUUGCACAAUGGGGGAAACCCUGAUGCAGCGACGCCGCGUGGGUGACGAAGUAUUUCGGUAUGUAAAACCCUAUCAGCAGGGAAGAAGAUGACAGUACCUGACUAAGAAGCCCCGGCUAACUACGUGCCAGCAGCCGCGGUAAUACGUAGGGGGCAAGCGUUAUCCGGAUUUACUGGGUGUAAAGGGAGCGUAGGUGGCAUGGCAAGCCAGAUGUGAAAGCCCGGGGCUCAACCCCGGGACUGCAUUUGGAACUGUGUGGCUGGAGUGUCGGAGAGGCAGGCGGAAUUCCUAGUGUAGCGGUGAAAUGCGUAGAUAUUAGGAGGAACACCAGUGGCGAAGGCGGCCUGCUGGACGAUGACUGACGUUGAGGCUCGAAAGCGUGGGGAGCAAACAGGAUUAGAUACCCCGGUAA
rnacentral:rRNA from 1 species